GGAGCCUGAAAGGCAAUCGCUUGUUAAAAAGAGGAAAGUCCGGGCAACAAAGAGCGGGGUAGUCGCUAACAGCGACCGUCUGUAAAGAUAGGGAAAGUACCACAGAAACUUAAACUGCCUAGUUUACUGGGUGAUGGUGAAAAGAGUGAGGUAAGAGCUCACAGCGAUUUGUAGCGAUACGAAUUGGAGGCAAACCCUACCCGUUGCAAGGAGUGCUAUAAGCUUUUGCUCGAAGACGCACGCUUACCGCUAGAGUGCUAUAGCAAUGUAGCGCCAAGAUAGAUGAUUGCCAGUCUAUAUUUUUAUAUAGACUACAAAACCCGGCUUAACGACGGCUCAAUUC
rnacentral:RNase_P_RNA from 1 species